rnacentral:snRNA from 2 species
UCAGCUUCCUUUGCCAUAUGGCUUAGAUCAAGUGUAGUAUCUGUUCUUGCACAGGUUAACCCCUGGCAUGGGUUUCAACGCCCUUCCAAACAAGUUGACUUUAAUUUUUUGCUUUCGGAGUUAAAGCUCUUGGUUACGCUUGCGUAGCCCGGGGGCCCGCUCCAGAGUGUCCUUGGUAUCACACUGCCUCCAAGUGACGCGAAGUUUC